AAUUUCCUAGGAAAAGUAAGUUGUGCUUAGGAAGUAGGAAAGCAGUCAGGCCCCCGCUUCCCACGUACGGUCAAAAAGCAAACAUGAGAGUCUGCUAUAGUGAGAUGGAAAUGGCUAGCUUGCCUUUUUCUUGUCUAUUUCAUAGCCAAGGAUGAAGGAAAAACUGGACCUCAUUAUGGAUUUACUUUUGGGAUACACUCAUUAUUCCAGAGGAGGGUAAAAGGCUGAGAAGCUUAAGGUAUUUCAGUCUGUUUUAUGUUACUCAUUUGCGAAAAGCAGGCUCAUCGAAUACAGGUGAGUUUCAACGCGUCUUGAAUAUGGCAGCAUUUAAAAGUCUUCAGACCAGGCAUGGUGGCUCAUGCCUGUCAUCCCAGCACUUUGGGAGGCCAAGGUGGGAGGAUUGCUUGAGGCCAGGAGUUCGAGACCAGCCUGUUCAGCAUAGCAGGACCCCCAUCUCUACAAAAACUAAACAGAUUAGCUAGGUGUGGUGGUGUGUGCCUGUAGUCCUAGCUGCUUGGGAGGCUGAGGCAGGCGGAUAGCCUGAGCACAGGAGUUGGAGGCUGCAGUAAGCCAUGAUUACACCACUGCACUUGAGCCUGGGCAGCAGAGUGAGACCUGUCUUUUAAAAAAAAAAGGAGCUGGGCACGGUGGCUCAUGCCUGUAAUCCCAGCACUUUGGGAGGCCGAGGCAGGCAGAUCACGAGGUCAGGAGAUCGAGACCAUCCUGGCUAACAGUGAAACCCUGUCUCUACUGAAAAUACAAAAAAAAUCAGCCGGGCGUGGUGGCGGGUGCCUGUAGUCCCAGCUGCUCGGGAGGCUGAGGCAGGAGAAUGGCAUGAACCCAGGAGUUGGAGCUUGCAGUGAGCCGAGAUUGUGCCACUGCACUCCAGCCUGGGCGACAGUGAGACUGCUUCUCAAAAAAAAAAAAAAAAAAAAAAAAAAAAAGAAAGGGUCUUCAAAGACAAUAAGAUCUGUGCUCUCACGUAGGGUGGAUGAGGGGCUGCCAAGUUAGCAAUGAAUGUUUCCCAUUUCUUCUUAGUUUAUGGACUUUCCAUAAACUCAGGAUGGCAGUUUGGUUGGUUGGAGAAGGAUAUGGUGAUGGCGGGAGUUACAAUACAUUACUUAUAGGGGAAGAUAGGCUUUUGAAAGGUUAAAGCUUAAAAGUGAGAAUGGAAAAGGGAUGAAUGAAUGAACAUGAUGAGGUGAGAGGGAAGAGGUAAAGGGAAAAGGAGAACAAGCAACUCUUCUCUGCGUGGCACCUGGGAUGAAUGGUUUCUGGGGACAUCCCUGAUGGCAGUUUUGUGGAGAGGUGCAAAGCUUUAUGUGUUAAGAAAUGAGCUGUAGGCUCAGUGCAGUGGCUCACGCCUGUAAUCCCAGCACUUUGGGAGGCCGAGGUGGGUGAAAAGAAAAAAUGGGCUGGGCGCCGUGGCUUACGCCUGUAAUCCCAGCACUUUGGGAGGCCGAGGUGGGCGGAUCAUGAGGUAAGGAGUUCGAGAGCAGCCUGGCCAACAUGGUGAAACCGUGUCUCUCCAAAAAAAUAGAAAAAACAUCCCUGUAUGGUGGUGAGCACCUGUAGUCCCAGUUACUCAGGAGGCUGAGGCAUGAGAAUCGCUUAAACCUCGGAGGCGGAGGCUGCAAUGAGCUGAGAUGGUGCCACUGCACUCCAGCCUGGGUGACAGAGCUGGGUGGUGGCUCAAGAUAUGUUUUGUAAACCUGAAGAUUUGAGAUCAUAUAAGCCAAAUCGAAACUUAAUUGGCAUUCAUAACUUUUGGUUCUAGAGACUCCAUGAUCAACUAAGAGCCACCAAACAUUUCCCAUGUAGACUAUUUUGACCAUGCUGACUCUACUGACACUGUGGUUACUGAAUUCACUUUAUCUCUAGAAAUUAAUUCUUACUAAUGGAUGUCUGUCACUGUAAGAUCCUUCUCUCCUCUGAAAUAAGGAGAACAUUUUAACUUCAGUAGUUUAAACUAGUGUCCUAAACUAUAGCAUUCAAAAUGAGAUAAUAUGCUAAAGUAAUACACAAACCAAAAAUCCCAGUGGCUAACACAAAAAGUUUUUCUUACUCAUUUUACAUAUCCAGGGUAAGUCAGUAAUAGACGCAGACACACCCAGAGACCAAGGAUGAGUUGUGAUCUGUCUGCACACAUAGUUCACAAUGCCUGAGUGAGUUGUGCUUUGGCCUUUAAACUUCCACUCAUGUUUAAUUAAUAAAGAUUUUGCUCAAAUGCCAUUUGAUGAUGAGUUUCAUGACGAUGAUCAACUUUAAAAGAACUUGGAAGUACAAUCCUCAAGCGUUUCUGGAAAUAGCAGAACUACAAUAUUUGAGAAAAAUAUUUUUUAAUGUAUAAAAAAUUGGCAGGGUAGGCUAGCAAGCAAGAGACCUAGAGAAAAGUUGAUGUUACAGUCUCAAGUCGAAAGGCAAUCUGCAGGCAGAAUUAUUUCCUUGAGGGAUCUCAGUCUUUUAAUAUAAUCAAUUGACUGGAUGAGCCCUACAAUAUUUUGGAAAAUAAUCUGCUUUUCUCAGAAAUUACUGAUUUUCAUGUUAAUCUCAUCUAACAAUACUUUCAGAGCAACAUCUAUACUGGUAUUUGAAUAUAUAACUCUUUUAUCUUUUAAAAUAUCAAAUAAUACAGUUAUAUAUAUAUACACACAUAUGUAUAUAUGUCACCUAAAUUGUAGAUAUCAGAAAUCAGAAUGCUGUGAUAUGAAUAUUUAGUAUAUUUUAAUCAUGAUAAAUUAUACAUCCUUCUACCUUAUGAUAAUGGAUUUUAAGAUCUAUGCUGUUAAACUCUAUAUUUAUCCUUUAAUUCAUAUCUUGCUUAUUUUACAUUUAUCUGAGAAUACAUUGGGUCUACUAAAUCUUUACUAUCAUUCACAAGUCUUACAUCUUAAGAUAACUUUUCAAUAAAAUAAAAAUUCUUCAUUGCACCUAGAAAGGAGCAGGGUUUUGAAAGCGAUCAAUGAUUACUCUGAUACCUAAUAUAAUAAUAUAAUAUAGUAAAAAUCAAAAUACUUGAAUGAAAAAUGUAAAAUUAAUAGUUUUGCUUUCAUUGUUUUUAUUCCAGUGUCUAUUUUAGAAUGUUUUUACUCUAAUUGUGUUUUUAUGCAAAACCAAAUGAGCUUUAGAUAAUUCCAUUGAUACAUUACAUAUGAAAGUUCUCGUUAAAUAGGAUAUAGCAUAUUUUACUUAAAAAUCCAAAUUAUAAAAUAAAGAGGGAUUUUAAGUUGAGUCUAAAAUUUUUGUUUCAAUUUUGUUUUUAUUUAAAGACUUGCUAUAAUUCUGUGAGAGAGCUAUAAAAGUCUGCUCAGAAACAUUAUAAUGUAAAAUGGACAGAGAAGGACAAUGAGAUAUUUAAUUUGCCACGGCAAAGCCAUUGCUGUGAAGAAUGGAUAAUAUAUGUCAAUGGUAAUAUAUGAAGAAAUAACACAGGUGAAUAGCAGAGGCAAUAAAUCUGUUUUUACCACAGGACUUGUCUUACACUUUUCUCUUAGUAAUAAAUAAAAUAAUUUUCGACCAGAUGGAGCUGGCUUGAAAUCCUCUUGUUUAUGGCAGUACAUAUCGGUUAUGAUUCAAAAAAUAUAGCCCAUUUCCAAAAACCUGCAACAAAGAGAUACUUUCUCAGGUGUCAGUUUCUUGGUCGGGAAUGAAAAUAGUGCCAACCUGUGAUACCUUCACUCUAAUUUUACUUUCUGAGGAAGUUUUCUGUAAUAGUUAUUUGGUGAUAAUUAUUAAUACUGGUGAGAAAAUCAAUGUAAAAGAGGAGAAAUAACCCACACAACCACAUACAACUAGGAAAUGAUAGAUGGAUCUGAAAAAAAGGAUAAGCACUCUUAACAAGUUCAACACCCAAGUACUAUUGCAAGUACAAGCUGUAUUUCAUGGAAAAAAAAAAAAGAAUAACUCAAAAGGCAGAACGAAGAGCCUAGAGGUCAGAGAUGAGAGGCAUGAAUAAUUAUUCACAGGCGUUGAAUAUAAUCAAAUGACUUGCAACAUUUACCACUGGGAUUUUAAAAUGUGGUGGACCAAUCAUUCUUUUAGUCUGUGCAUUUUCCCAUUUUUUUCAACAGGAAUGUCUAGAGACAUUAUUCCUGUUUUGCCACUGUAUUUUUGGUGAAUGUGUAGUAAGUAACUGGCCUCUUUAGUAUCACAAAGCUGGAUGAAGAAAAUGUGGUACAUAUACACCAUGAAAUACUAUGCCGCCACAAAAAGGAAAUGAGAUCAUGUCCUCUGCAAGGACAUGGAUGAAUCUGGAAGCCAUUAUCCUUAGCAAAGUAACGCAGGAACAGAAAACCAAACACCACAUGUUGUCUCUUAGAAGUGGGAGCUGAACAGUAAGAACACAUGGACACAGGGUGGAGAACAAUACACACUGGGGCUUGAUGGGGGGUGGAGGGGAGGGAUGGGGAGCAUUAGAAAAAAUAACUAAUGCAUGCUGGGCUUAAUACCUAUGUGAUGGGUUGAUAGGUGCAGCAAACCACCCUGGCACAUGUUUAUCAAUGUAACAAACCUGCACAUCCUGCACAGGUACUCCAAAACUAAAAGUAAAAAAAUCUAAAAGAAAAAAAAAAAAGAAUUAAACCCCAAAUCACUUCCCCAUCUGGACUUGAUUUAGAUGAAAAGCUUCUGGACUUUGAGCUGAUGCUAUAGUGGGUUGAAAAUUUUGGGGUCCUCAGAAGGGGAUGAGGAUAUAUUGCAUGAGAGAGCAACAUGAAUCAUUGAGAGCCAGAAUAUAGAGAGUGGUAGGUAGACUGUAGGAGAGCCCUCAAUGAUCCCAGCUUUCUUGUAUUCGCGUUGCACUUACUUGUAUAAUAUGGCAGAUGGGAUGUGAUGUCACUUUCAAGAUUAGGUUAUAAAUAGACUAUGGCUUCAAUCAGAGGGUUUUCUCUCUGUCUAGCUCUCUUUUGGGUAGUUCAUUCUGAGGAAAGCCAGCUGCCACGUUAUGAUGUAGGCCUGUGAGGUCCACGUAGCAAAGAACAUAUGGAAGAUUUCUACCACCCCCUAACUAAGCCUUUAGGUCAGACCGCAACCCCAGCCAACAAGGUAGCUACAAACUCUUGAGAAGCCUUGAGACAGAGGUACUCAAUAGAGCCAUUCCUAUGAGAAACGUAAGUAUCUGCUGUUUUACACCGCUAAGGUUUUAGCUAAUGUAUUAUGCCAUAAUAGAUAAGUUAUAUACAACCUUUAUCAAAUAAUAAAAGUAACCAUCAUCAGUAAUGAGACAAAUCAAAAACCAUGGCCCACCCAAUAGAACAUAAUGAGGAGAGUACAGAAUUGCUUCUGGGAUAUUUCUGACAAAGAUGUAUAUGCUUCAUUCAUACAUGAGGAAACAUCACACAUACUCAAGAUGGGAGAGCCAUUCUAAAAAAUAACUAGGCAGAAAUCUUCAAAAAUAUUAAAGUCACGGAAACCAAGAAAAAAUAUGAACCUGUUCCAGAUUAAAGGAAACUAAACAGACCUAACAUUUUAAUACAAUGUUUGAUUUUGAACUUGAACUUUUUGUUAUAUAAGACACUAUUGAGACAAGUGCUAAUGCUUGAAUAGGGCUGAAGGAUUAGAUUAUAAUAAUACAUUAAUGCAAAUUUCCUGAUUUUAAACAUUGUAGUUUGAUUGCACAAGGAGAAUGUCUUUAUGUGUGGAAAAUAAAUAGUCAACAUUCUGUCUUCAAGCUUCUGAAAAAACUCUGCUUUUAGGGCAUAGAUAGAAGUGGAUGAUAAUUCACCUGUUCCUCUGCUACUAAUUGAGCUGCUCUCUGUUUCCAUGGCUGGCUCAUGGGAUGAGAGAAUAUAUCUAGUUUUUUAUGUUUCAAUUUGUCUCUCUAUGGCAUUUUUGUGAAAAUAAGGAAGUGUGGAGACUUAUAUAUGUUUCUAAAUUGUAAUAGUUCAUUAAUGUAAAGUACAGACACAGUCUUCACUUUUCCUUCUUAGACCGUUUAAAUAUGGCCACGAAACAAGUAGUCUCUGGUUGGCUGGGCACUGUGGCUCAUGUCCUUAACACCAACACUUUGGGAGGCCGAGGCAGGCAAAUCACUUGAGGUCAGGAGUUCGAGACCAGCCUGGCCAAUGUGGCAAAACCCCAUCUCUUCUAAAAAUACAAAAAUUAGCUGAGUGCGGUGGUGCACACCGGUAAUCCCAGUUACUCGAGAAGCUGAGGCAGGAGAAUCACUUGAACCUGGAAGGCAGAGGUUGCAGUGAGCCAAGACCGCACCACUACACUCCAGCCUGGGCAAUAGAGCAAGACUCCAUCUCAAAAAAAAAAAAAAAAAGAAAAAAGAAAAUAGUCUCUGGUUAAAUAACCUCUGAAAGACUCCACCAAAAAUUUCAUCUUAGCAUUUCUCCCCAAACUUCAUGUAAAAUAAAAUAGAGUUGAGAGAAAAAUAGAAAGGCAAGGGAGUACCUGUUCACUAUUUUUAUUAAACCAGUGUUCUACUUUAUUUUAGGUGUAUCUUUUCUUAUUUAAAUGUCAGCUAAACUUUCUUUUUAAGAUAUUGAAUGAAAGAUGCCCAUCCUUCAGGUUUCGUUUAAGCAAGAAUCCCCAUUCUCAAAUAAUAUAAUAUAAACUUUCCAAAUUCUUAAGUAGAUCAUCUGAGAUUGAAAGCUAAGUUUAACUUUCUCAAAGAUAUUUUAGCCGCCAUGACACCUAGACAAAGUGGUAUAUUAAAUUCUGAUUAAUUUGGUCCUAAAGCACCUAAGAAUCAUUCUUACUUUCUUAUCCACAGGGGUUAUUAAGUUUUCACAUUAAAAAAAAUCCAACAGUGAAUAAUACUGCAUUGGGGUUACUGUAAUUGUUAAGUAAAAUAAGAAAUACAAAUCUUUAGUUAGAUCACAUGGCACCUGACUACUGCUUAGAAAAUGGUAAGACUUACUACAUAAAUGAUGAGUCACUAUUGACAUCUACUAUAUCAUAUCAUAGGUUAGGUAUCUAAUUAUAAAUAGUCAAAUCAGCUGACUCAAGGUGGCAUAGCUCAAGCAGAGGAAGAUAAUACAAGUUGAGUAUGGAUUUAACACUCUAAACCUGUCAGCACUGUAGGAAAAGUAACUUAAAACUGCACACCCCACUUAUGCAUAAUCAUCAGAUAUAAAGAGGGUACAUUCCUGUAAUUUAUUGUUGCUCUAGUGAUCUUAAAGAAUUAAGUCCACAUUCAUAAAGUCCAAACUUGUCUCCAAGGAUUUGCUUUGACUUUGGGAGUAUCUGGAUCAUUAAGUAAUUUCCGGAGGUCAGAGUAAAAGCUUUUUAUCUCUAAAUAUUACUUCCCUGGAAAAUUAGAUGUAGCAGAAGUCAGUAACGGAGUGACCUUUGUCUUAAACAAUUCAUAGAUUCACUGAAAUUUUCUUCAACUUUAGGAAAAUUAAAUAUAUUCCACAGUGCUGUAAGUCUUAAAUAUUGAUUUUCCUCUGAAAUCUUGACUCAUCCUACCCACCAACAUUCUCCCUUUGUACACUAUGUUCUUUGUAAUGUUCACGUUACACAAGUGAAAAUUAGUAACAUUAGUAAAUUUUCAUUGCAGGUUUAUUUGUUCAUAUUUCUGGAUAUAUAAUCCAUUACUGUUAAACUUCAUAUCAAUGUUCCGAUAUUUCUUCAUCUUAUGUUUUAUGUUACAAAACAGGUUAUUUCACUAUAUGUAUUUUUAAUUGAUUAAUUCUUCCCUUUUUUGGAAAUGAAACAGCCCUCUCAAUUAUUGGGACAGAAAAGUUAUUUCAUAGGGAAUACUUCAAACACUGAUAUCUACAACAGGCAGUAAGAUUCGUCACAACAAUUGGUAUACUGUCAAUAUACCAUACAAAGUUCCAUCUGGUCUUGAUUAAAAAUUAUUUUAGUUUUCUCAGGAAAAUGAUACAGAGGGAGAAUUGCCUAGAUUAUAUGAGAGAAAAAAAAGUAGAGAGAAACAUAAUGUUUUCUUAGAUUAUUACAGCAGUGAACUAUUUCCACCUGGUAAGAAGGGUGCACUUGAGAAUGGGGUACAAGUACUCUAGGAACAUAGAUGUAAGUUCUGGAUGCACAGUAGUUGUUGCUUAGCUGUAAGCUGGAAAUUUCAAGGCAGAAACAGCAGAUACCACAACUAUAACUGGGUCUUCUUGUUUUUUGUUUUAUGUGUAUACGUGAGAUUAUGGGGAAAGACAAAAGUAAUGCAUAGAGAUUUAUUUUUUAACAUUCAAUUCAUAAGCAGUGUUUAUACCUCUUUGUACUUACUUGAAAAGUGUAUAUUAUGUAAAUUUAGUAUAAAAACACUUGGACUAAUUCAUACCAUGUGGUAAAAUUUCACAUUCAAAAGAAAUACCCUUCUGUUAUUAAAAAUAAAAAAAAAAGGAGCCAGGAGGGUGGCUCAUGACUGUAAUCCCAGUGCUCUGGGAAGCCAAGGUGGAGGGAUCAUUUGAGGCCAGGACUACUUGAGAACAGCCUGGGCAACAUAGCUAGAUCCCUUCUCUACAAAAAGUAAAAAAAAAAAAAAAAAACAAAAACAAAUAGCUAGGCAGGGUGGCACAUGACUGGCUAUUAAGGAGGCUCAGGUGGAGGGAUCUCUUCAGCCCAGGAAUUUAAGGCUUCAGUGAGCUAAGAUUGGGCCAUUGCACUCCAGCCAGGGCAACAGACCAAGACCCAGUCUCAAAAUAAAUAAAUAAAAAUGAAAGAAAGCAGUGCACUGAAAAUCAAUUUAAGUAUUUACUGGAGUUGUCUUGAAGGCCCAAUGGGAAAUGUCAGUAAGGGCACAUGAGAAAACACUUUAAGAACCUAUUCUUCCAAAGAUCUUUCCAGUAUCUUAUGACAACACAGUAAAUUAUACCCACUCCAACUGCAAAAGCUGAAACUACUCUGCUUUCUCACUUACCUACACUUUUGACUUUCCAAAUACAUUUCUCUCUUCGGAUAUGAGCUGCAAACUCCUUAUAUAAAGGCUCCAACUCUGCAGCCCUAAUUAUUCUAGUUGGCCCAAGAAAAAUCCUAAUUGUUUUAUCUAAGGAGACGGAAUUUUCCAAUACUGUAGAGGCAUGUGUGUGUGUUUGCUUUAAGGAAGCUGUUUUGGUAAUAAAAAGUCACUGAAGGUCAUAAAUUCAUGUUAACACAUCCAGUGUACAUGAAGUAGGCACCGAGUUAAACUAUUUGUCUACUAUAUAGCAUGUCAUCUUAAAAGCCUUAUUUUUUCCUCAAAAUAUUAACUUUAUUUUUCUCCCUGUAAAAUCAAGACACAGUUAAAAUGUAGCCUUCCUCAUUUUCUGGGAAUACUUUCUAACAAGAUAUGCUUCUUUCCAAUUGGACUUCUAAAUUUCUAGCAAUUCUAACAGUGCAUAAAAGAGGCAACCCCAAAAGUGUAGCAGGUACUGAAUAACAGAUUUGCAGCCUUGGGUAUCCACAUUAAAAUUUGAAAUCUAAGUGAAUUACUUCAAGCUGAUUUCUUAGGUCAAGGAGAGAUUAUGGUCCUUAAAUGCCUGAUAAGGUCACAUACACAAUUUCAAGUGCAUUAUAGUAAAUCCAUGUGACAGCUCCUACAGCUACUAACCUGCUUCUGCCCUCACGGUAGCGUGCACAAUCUUCAUCGCAUGUCCUGGGUGGUGGUAGGAGCAGUAGAAACCCCCUGGGUCAUGUCAGAUUUAGAAAAUAUAAGCAAUGGCUCAUACACGAAUUUUAAGUUGUAACCUACAUGUGAUAAGUUGCUUUAUCUUCCAAAUGUAAUAAAAACCAGAAGUUACUUUGAAAUAAAUUGAAGGAUUAGCAGUGGUGACUGAGGAAUAAAAAUUAUAAUUUAAAAUUGUCCUUAAGGCUGGAAUUCUUAACUUAUUGACCUUAUAUCCUACAUAUUAUAGGACUUUGUAAAUUUAGGCUGAUAUGGAAAUGUAUAUUUAUAUCAAAUUUAAAUUUUUAGAAUGAUGGUGCUACUAUAUUCUAAUUGUUAAUUUGAUAAUUGUAAUUGUAAUUUGUUAAUUUGUUCUAAUAAUGUUUUCAUGACAUUAUUCAUUUGCUGCUUGGCUUGAUGGCAUAACAAGUAUGGGUUAUUUACCCUGAAAAGGAAACAGUAUCACCCUUCCAGAAUCUCUAUUUACAGCUACAAAAGAUGCAACACACCUGUUUCUGGACCACUUCCAGAUCAGAUGUGAUGCAUGCUUUAGAUCAUUUACUUUGAUCUAGGAAUUACUGUCUGGCAUUUCGUGGUGUAGGGUAGGUGUCUCCAGCACUGUAUAGGUGUCUGGAAUUGAGAUAAGAAUCAAUUUCAAUACAAAAUACAUUUUUUGCUUAAAGCACGCAAGGAUUCUAUGAAUUCAGGUAAAUUCACAGGGUGGAAAACAGGAACUAAUGUUAUAUAUUCCUGUAGUUAUCUUCAUAAUGAAGCAGAAAGAAAAACAAAAAAGUUACAAAAAUAAAUGAAAAGAACUGUAUUUUCUAGAAUUGAAAAAUAAUUCUUUUAGAUGAUAGAUAAGAUGUUUACAUCAACCUGCAAAAAGUCAAUGUUGAAGAGGUCUCAUUGUAUCUCACAGAAUUUUGAUUUGCCUACUCACCCACAGGAGACAUUUCUGGGACAGUAGCAACAUAAGGUCCAUCCCAAAACUUUGGCUCAUUAUCAUUAAUAUCCUGCACUUUGAUGAUGAAUUCUGAUUCAGGCUCCAGGGGCUUUCUGGUUUCUAUGUCCACAGCCUGAGCACGAAGAGUGUAGAAAGGUUUUUCUUCUCUAUCUAGGCUCCUUAUUGCGUGAAUGUCCCCUGUGGUUUCAUCAAUGGUAAAAACGGUGCCAGCGCCAUCUCCUGAGAGGGUGUAUUUCGCAGUGCCCUCUCCCUUGUCUAAGUCGGAAUGGAGCUUUAGGGAAGAGAGGGAGAGAGAGAGGAAGAGAAAGAGAAGGACAAAGAAAGAACACCAUUAAAAGGAUGUUGCCAAAUUAAAAAGUCAUAAUUUGCAAUACAAUUCCUUUAAUCAAAAAUGUUAAAUAAAAAUCUUAUGGUUCUGUUUUCUUGUUUUUUAUUUCUCCAACUUCUUUUUAUAAAAAUUUCAACACAAAAAGUUGAAAACUGUGCAAUGAACACAUAUACAUAUACAUCCAAACAUUCCUCCAUAUGUGUGCAAUGAACACAUAUAUACCUAUACAUCCAAACAUUCCUCCAUUCGUCUAUUAAUCUGCUUGCCUUAUCAGAUAGGUCUCAUAUCCAUUCUUCUGUUCAUCCUUCUCUUAACCCAUUUUUUUUUUGAGGUGUUACAAAGAUCAGAACAAAAGUACAACCUCAGAUAUAGCAGCAGGCAAAAAAAAACAAUAAAUUUUGAAAAUUUGUAUUUAGUUCUUCUGUAUCCCUUUGGGAUAACAUUUUCAUAAAAUGAAAUGCACAAAACUUCAGUGUACUUAUUGUUUCAUUUUAAAUAAACAUUGCAAUAAAAAUAAAUUAGCUCAUAGACACCACAAAAUAAACUUUCCAAGUGUUCUGAAGAUGAAAUCAAUGACCUGAAUCCAGUGGGAGAUAGUGCAAAGGAACUCAGAAAACACUAAGCAUUUUCAUUUGUAAAGAAGGGAAAAAUCUGGCAAAUCAAGAGGUUUUCAGUGAUAUAGGGCAGAGCGUCUCAUUUUAACAGGCUGAGUUUGAAUGAGUUUACCACUAUGAUUGGUAGAAUCACUGAUUAUCCUUUCAGAUUCACAAAUAGCUUGUUCCAAUUCAUUCUAUAUAGAGAAUAUUUAUGUUGAGUAAUAUAGGAAAGCAUUGAAAUUCUGCUAAUUUUUUUUUAAAAUUCAACACAUGUAUGGUACAUUACAUUAUAGCAUGGAAUAAGAUACACAUGAAUAAGCGAUAAGGAAGAGAACUAAAGAGUAGAGAGAAUUAUCAGUGUAAUGCCAUAAAGCAGCGUUGUUCAAACCGGAGACCAAGAAUAAAUGAAAAAUGGACACAGUCUUAAAAGUAUAUAAAUUAUGUGUAAAUAAAUAUAUACAUAAAAUAUUACAUAAAAUAAAAUAGUGAAUCAUAUACAAUUUUCUAGUAGUAUAUAUUUGUAUAAAUAUAUUCUUAUACAUAAUAUAAUUAUAUAUACAUAACAGUCAUAAAUAAUAUUUAUAUUAAUUUUUAUGCAGAUGCUGAUUUAAAUGUUUUAAACUAUUCUUGCUCAUUUGGGUAUAGCCAUUUGAUUUCAGCAUCCAAAUUUUUACAUGUAACAGCUUUUUCCAGACAACAGAUCACCCAAAAGAAAAUUAAACUUUUGCAGCAUUUCUAACCAUUUGGGCUACGCCUUAAAAAUCUGCAUAUGAGCACUGCUCUUUGCAAAUCAUUGCUUAAGAAUGAGUUCUGUUUUCCUAACAUUUCAACACACACAAAAACUCUGAAAAUAUUUUAAAUUAUAUAAAUAUCCUGUUGCAAAUAAGCUUCC
rnacentral:lncRNA from 1 species